AAAAGGAAAGCCUCCAGAGAAGUCCUUUAAAAGCAGAAGUAAUGUACAGGCAGAGCUGUCUUCCUUGAAGAUAUACGGCUCUGGGGCCGCACGACCACGCCAGGCUUCCUGAGUCACCUCUGAGUAGGUGCCAGCCUGUCAGUGAGCUCCACUAAAAUAUACCUUUCUCCCACUCCCUGCCUGCUAGCAGCCCUUUGAGAGAGAAUUGCCUUUACAGUAUCCUAAGGUGUCUGCUGGGCUUUUAUUCCCUGAUUUUAAAUGAGUUUUUAAAUGAGCGGAAGGGAGGUGAAAAAUGUUGGCCCAUUUAAUACUGUCACUUAAUGAUCUGAGCCCCUGUUUGUGGAGAGAUGGCUUAUCUUGAGCUGUUCUUUCCUCUUCUUACCCGUUUUCCAGGAGAGUAUCUCCUGUUGUGUUAAGCCAGUAACCCUUUUUAUAUAGGUCAGCAUAUGGUAUUAAUGAGCUUUUGUACCCUGGUUAAUGUCACCCAGGUCUCUUGGAGAAGUGGGGAAUAGAAAAUAUUGCCUGGAUUUGUUCUUUUCCUUUUAUUAGUAGAUGUGUGAAGCAGUUGACCUUCUGAUAGGAAAAAGAACCCACUGAUUAAUCAGAGCCUUUUAGCUUUUGUCAUUUAAAAUGCAAUCCCAGAGACCCAAGGAUGCGGUGCUCGUCUUCAAAAGCACCAACUUCAGGAAAACCUAAGAAAUGAAGUUGCUAUGAGAUAGGUGUGCCUGUAAUGAGAGAAGUUUGCAGGAAACUUGUAAGCAGAAGCUGAGAAACUUCCAUCUUUUAUUUGUGAAAAGACAGUAUGUGCAAGCAGUGUUCAGCUUGGAUGGAGCUUGGCCUGCAGCAGAACAGUGUGAGCUGUGUCUGACAGCAGCACCAUUGCUGCUGGACAUGUCAGUGGCCCCAGUGCUGUCGCCUCUAUUUCUUUUUCAGCCCCAGAUAUCUUGGCAAGCAAGGGGUUGAACAUCUGCAGUUUUGCUUAAUCAAACAGCCCCAUAAUGCUGCAAGCAAAGAACGAGGGGUAGCUGAAUACAUUUGAAGUAGCUUAAUAAAUUAGUAUUAGUGUUGUAAUUUGCAUUGUCUUUACUUUUGGAUUUCAACUAUUUAGCAAAAGUGACUUGGAAGGGCCAUUAAUUUUAGUGUAGGAGUGAUGAUGCUGUAUGUAGGAGAACAUCUGGCUACAUGCUUGUAUCUUGAUUUUAAAGGAAAAUAUUUGAUGAUAUAUUGAAUCAUAGAAUCACCAAGGUUGGAAAAGACCUCUAAGAUCAUCCAGUCCAACCUUCCAACAUAUUUAAUGUGAAGAGAAAUGUAAACCACUGAUGUAUUUUUCUAUUGCAAGGAAAAUGGAGAAGAUGGAGUCCUGAUAAUUCUUCCCAUUUGUGCUGUGGCUGUGCAUAAUGUGCUUUGGAGAGCAUUCUUAAGUGGAAAAGUGUUGCAGGCUUUGCAGUGUGAAGCAGACUGGCUGCUCUGCUCUUGCUUGCCUUUUAUAGCUGUUUUCAUGCCUUUAGUACAUCUUAUGUUUCUGUGGAAUCUCGCCGUGAUUCCUUUUGUUGCUGCUGUAGCUCAGCUAAGAAUUACUGACAAGUUGUAAGGUUAUGAGAUUGCAAGGACUUUUAAAAAUCAUUAAAGAAACAGUAUUGUGUAAAAGCCUUAAAAGCUUCUUUUACUUUCUGUGCCUGGAGCAAUCUUCAACAGCUUCUGGAGUUUCUCACUCAGGUUGGGCCAUGGAAGUUGGUCACUGCAGUGAGCAGGAGGGAUGAUUCUAACGUGACAUGCCUGCAAUUGUUGCAUCGUUACCUUUCACCAUAAGCAGAGUGGCUUUUUUCUGGGCGAGUGCAAUGAUUACACCUGCAAAACUGUCAGUUCAACAGCAAAACCCCCAGCACUCUGCAGUUUUCAGGCAACCUGCACACUCAGCACAUGAUCACAUAUCCCAGGUAUUAAGUAAUGAGCAAUUUUUGGAGUAAUUAUUGAAACGUGCAAAUCUGGGUCAGCCCAAAGGAGAGGAGGAAGGGACUGGCUCUGUGCUUCUUGGUGCUGCACACGUCCUGCACAAUGAGCGGGCAAUGCUUGCACUGUGAAGAUAGAGAAAAAGAAAUAGAAGUUGGUCAUCUGUCUCAGCAGUGUUUGCACGUCCUUGGAGGAGCAGAGGAGCACUCUGCCUGCUUGUUCUCGCUGCUGUUUGGACCUCGAUCCUCAUAACAGCCUGGAUCCACUCAGCCCUAUGGCAAAUGGCAGGGAGAACAGCACCUUCUUUUAUUGCUCUUCGGGAGAGAGCUGCAGUAAACUUCAGUAAUCCCUCAUUUGAUGCUGGAGAAUAAAUGUAACGUGGCACUCGGGCAGACUUACUCUGUAUUCUUUUCUGCUCCUUCUGCUUGCUCUGAGGUUUAAGAGACCCACUGAUUUGCACCCGCACAGUUUCUUGUCUCUGUUAUUGCAUCUUUUUUCAGGGAAGCAGGAGGUCUGGCUGUCCGCUGGCAGGGCUUGCAGAAGUGGCAGCACUCCUGGUGGGGACAUGCUUCCCCAUCCCUACAGGCAAGUUAGCAGGCUGCCAGGCGUGCUAACAGAUGCUGUGGCAGGUCUCCAGUUCCCAGCAGUGCCUGGCAUGGCCAUUCCCCUCCCUUCAGGAAUGCAGACAAGGGAGUGAGAGGCAGCAAUGGAUCUUAGGGAGCAGCCUGGCCAUGGUGUGAGCAAAGAAGCUGCUGCUGGGAUGAGGUGAGCAUCUUUCUGUGCCAUAGUGGCUGUGCAGCCUAGGGAGGGCUCUUGCCCUGCCCCUGUAUCCCCUUGUACCAGGGGACCUGAGUGUACCGAGGCACUGGCUGCUCCUGUGUUCCAGUGCUGAUGGCAAACAUUUUGUUCAUUAUCUCUUAUUUCCCACUGAAAUGGUUGCAUCACUUAAUUGGUGCAGGGGGUGAUGUAUUAUCCAGACCAGGCUUUUCUGGAUGGAUUCUUCGCUUGUAGCCUUUCAAAGUGCUGAAUGUGUUUAAAUAGGUUUGGGGAUAUUAUACAAAAGGAUGAAGUUAGUCUUCAGUAGCAUGAGGAGAAGCAACAAUAGGUAAAUAUUAUUAUUAAUAUUUUUAUUUUAAUUUUAAACCCAGCAAUAUUUAGUAUGGCAGAGAACAGCAUGAAUGAAAAAAACAAAACAAAACAGUCAAUUCCCUGUCAAAAAUGUGCAGAUUGGGGCAGCUCCCAUCCUGCAGACAGUAUUGGCUGCUCCUGAGCCCUCAGCAGCUGGAAAGCAUGGGAUUAGAGCAGCUUGCAUCCUUUGAUUUAGUACUGGAUCAUGGGAUUGAAGUCACUUUGAUAGAUUCUUUUGGAGGAUUUUGAGGAGCAUGGGUUUUUUGGUGAGCCUGUGGAACAACGAGGUGUGUUUCUCACCUUGCAGGGCCACAAACUCUGUGCUGCAGGGGGUGUUAAGCAAACUUGUGCUUCCCACAGCAGUGGGAUGCAAAACAUGCUCGGUUAAUACGCAGGAAGAUGUUGGCAAACUGUGCUGCUCAGACAGUUCCUUACUUCUGUGUAGAAUGGGUAUUAUCAUCUAUCAGGAGGCCCGGAGGAAGAAAAAGCCUUAAAGAAAACGUGUGUGUGAUAGCUAGGAUGGGGUAUGAAUUCAAACAGACUAAAGGUUAACAUUUCUAGUGCCUGAAGUGCUGAACCUUCCUGACCCAUUGAGAUGCCAGCAUGAACUCCCUUGUAGCCAGACCCCACUCAGUAGAUUGCUCAGGGAGCUGAGCAGGACCAGGGAAUACGGAUCCUUUGUGCCCUGGGCUGUAUGGUUGUUACUGCUGUAUGCUGUUACCAUGUCAGGGGGAAAUGAAAAGGUUAUUAGUGGACACUAUCGGUAACGUCCAUUAAGGUGCUGCGACAGUAAAAUUAAUGCUUUUCAGUCAUUAGGCACAGAGGCUCAGCGUGAUCAGCUAAUGCCUUAAAAUUGUGUUUACUCGCUGGGUUAGCACUUACCCAGGAUUGGGCUUUCUCUCUGUUAAUGAGCUCCUGUUCCCUAUGGGCAGUCAAGUAUCCGUCAUGUUUCAGAUAUAAGCGUCCUCGGUGCUUAUUUGUGAAGAUCAUUGAAACCAGGUAAACAAACCACAACCGAAUGGAGAUUCUGCAGGUGUCCACGCUGCUGUGUGCUGUUCAAACUAAAGGGUACAAUAUAAGCUGUUUGGAGUUGGUUUUGUACUGGAGGAGUCCAGAGCAAAUAACUCCUGUUGUUAAUUAACACGAGGGAUGAGCGUGUACUACAAGCUGUCUAAAAGACGUGAAGCUUGGGGUGUUGCUUGUGCUAAUGGAGUAAGAGUUAUAAAGUGGCUGAAUCCUCUUCCUUGUCCCAACAGUUGCAAGGUAGAAGCUUUCACUUUUUUAAAUAUGAUUUGAUUGCUUUCCCAUUGAAACUGUGGAAAAACAACAGUUAAAAGCUGGGAAACCGAAGUUUGUGGGGUGUUGCUUUACCUUCCCACACCACUCCAAGUAUACAUGCACUGAUGAGCUGUAGGUGUCAAGGUGAAACUGUCAAACAGUUCACUUUGAUGCUCAGUUAAACUGAAAGACUGAGAGUGAAAUAAUUUGUGCCAGUUAAGAAAAUCAAGUCAACCAAAACAAAACAAUAGCAACACACAAAAAAACCCCACUCCUAAACAGAAGGAAUCCCCACCCCCCAGCAGACACUUGCUUUCACAUGUAAUUCCAGCUGCUUCGUAGGCAUUUAUCAAAGCCCAACAGAGGAAAGGGUAUUACAUGAAUAGGGUGUGUAUUUCUGAUCUUAUAGAUCUUUGAGAAUAUUUAGCUUAAAUGAAAAGGUUCAGUUAUGCAUGUGUGCGUAAUUUAAUCCUGUAAAUGAUGCUCCAGUACUUACUGAUGUAAGACCAAGAGCAGCCCCUUGGUUUGAACAGGAGACCCUCCUUGGCCGUGGCUAUAGAUAGGCACUGCUUAAGUCCCGCACGGGUGAGCACUGGGCUCUGACCUGCUCCUUGGUUUGGGGACUUAACAGGGCUGCUCAGGACAGAGCAUCAGCCUCUAUGAAUGCUAUCAGCCCACUUCAACAAGUCAGAUUAUUUAAUUAGCCCUAUUAAGACACUUCUAUUUUUAUAACUUAUUUAUGAGUGCUCUUGCUAAGCUGAAAGGUCCGGAUUCAGGCUUCAAAAAGUGUUUUCAGCUCUUGGUGGUGUUAGCAGUCUUGGGAGGUUUUACACCACAACUCUGUUGUGUUUUCAUCCUAAGGAAGUAAAGAGGCAGCAACAAGUGAUGGAAGUCUGCUGAUACACUUUGGUCCUGAAAUCCUGUUCUUUGGGUUUCAGAGGUAGCUUCUGACAAACCUUUGCUUAGAGAUAUGUAUGGAGUGGUAGGAUGCUGCAGUGCUGCACUGCUGGUCAGCUGCUGGCCGUUACCAUCCCCUCCUUAGAAGGGGAAUAGAGUUGCUGGCUGCUUGGACCUUGGACCCCUGACAAUCCCAGGAGCUGCUGGAGGAGUUAUUUGUCCUAACAUCCGUAUUGUUGAAGUGCUUUGGUUGCCACAUGGGGUACGAAUGUUCCCCAGCAAUCAUUAAAGCUGCAGGAAAACAAGCAUCCUGAUGAAUGCUGGUUAAAGGGCAUCUGAGGGUUGCUUUGGACUAGGUGCUGUGCAGCUGUUUUACUGAGAUACAUGUUAGUUUUGUUUACAUUUUUAUGAGGAUUGCGAAACAAUCUGAUGAUUUACUAUUGAGAAUAAAUCCAGAGUGCCUGUUCACCAAAAAACCAUUAUGUGUCCAGACUGAUACACAGUUACCUCUUCAGAGGGUUUGAAACACCUCUAAUUUGAUUGUUAGAGGAAAGCUCCUUCAGCAUCCCCCAAAUUAAAUUCAUUCACAGAGACAAAAUAGACUUCAAAGUUGAAAUUAUUAUUUCAAAAAAACAUUUUCACAUCUGGAUUCAGUCAAUCAUUUCUCUUUCUGAUGAGCCACUGCUGGAUGGUGUGGAAGACGAAACUCCCCAGAUCUGGAGCCAGUAGAUGCUGUGUAAAAAUUGCAGUUGUGGUAAGCACUGGCUUGUGGCUUGAAGCUCGUUGUUGUGGUGACACUUAGGAAACAGUUAAUUAACUAAAGCUCAUUCCCAAGGUGAUCCUGAAGCACUAUGUGAUGAGCGUGCCUCUGUGGAUUUGAAAGUACGGUUAAGCUGUUUUGAAAGCAAAAGAUAUCCAAACGAGUGAUGGCUCCUUCCGAAACCACAGCUAAUCUGGUUUGGAGAAAUGGAGGUAGGGUGGCAUUUGUCAGUCCAUGCUCGAAGAUCUUGUCCAACCACAGCUGCAGACGAACACACAAAAUGAUACCCUCUUAUUUAAGACAGAAAUCUAAAUAUGUGCUCAUUGCUUUAUAUCAUCAGUGAGUUAUCUGAAUAGUAAAUAAGGCUUUUUAUUACUUUCAUUCUUGCUUUAUUGCAUUUGCUGCUCUACACAAUAUGUACAGCAUUGGCACAAUAUAGCUUGCAAGCUAGCUGGAGCAUUAGCAGAAUUGGUAAUGGUGUUCCAAAGCCAUAACACUUUGAUUGUGGUACUGUUAAAGCCAGGAAAAAACAAAAACACAACCCAGACCCCAGCAGUUGAUGCGUUUCAGUCUGUUGUACAGAGUUAGGAAAUAACAGCUCAAAAAUGAAGCAAAUGUAGUUAUGGAACCUGCUGAGAUGAGACAAAAUUAAUAUGGCUUCCAAAGUACCUGCUGUGGUUUUUUUUUUGGUGUCAGCUUUCAGGAUAAAACAGAACUGCGAGCAAUUGAGGAUAGCAGUAUAAAUUAAGAAAAGGGGCAAUAAUAAGGAAUGUGAAAGAUACUGGGCAUAGUAUUUUAACAUGGAAGAUGCUGACUAGGUUAACGCUGAACAGGGGUGUAGGCUGUGUUGAAAAACAUUUCACUCCUUGCUCUGAAAUUAAAUAUUUAACAGCACACUGAAAUAACAUGGAUUUUAAAAGUUGAGAUAAAUUUAACGUGGGUUCAUUUUAUUUGUCUGAAUAUACAGCGGUCUAACAGGCUGGAUGAAUGGAUGUAUGUACUGGUGCUGGAGUGCACUGCAUGCUGUAACUGGAGCGUUAGGUUAAGUAGAAGAGUCUUGAGACGGUCAUGACAAGCAGCAGAAAUUUUUGUAAAUAUUGAAAUAAAAAGCCCAACAGACUUCAGUUUGAAACGAAUCUUUCACUUGCCAAAUUAGCACAGCUUCAUAUUAUGCAUAUUUCCUAAAGGUUGGCAUAGAACUUGAAGAUCUUGUAUGCGUAGAUGUGCAGUGUUUUUUUCCACUGACAGCAGCUGCUGUAGGAAGACACCAGCUCUGCCUGCAAACCUGGUCUGCUUUUCCUUAGAGCAUGGCAUGAUUUCUCCAGGUUCUCAUCCACUUUCUGGUGGAGGUAAACCUGGAUCAACUGGGCCAGCUUGUUGGAAGUUGCUUUGGAUUUGCAUAUUACUGUUUAAUAUUACAUACAUUUUAUAAGAGAAGUCCUUGUAAUUAAGACUGACAUGCAACUAUCUCCUCAGAUGGUGACUUGUGCUAGCCCACAGGAUGUCUGUGUGGAAUCACCUGAGUAGUGCAGGUAGAUGGUGUGCGGUGUAAUUAAGCUGCCUCUGGCUGACCCCAGGAAAGGCACAGGAAGAGUAUGGGGUUUUCUUUUAUCCUUUCCACAGUACAAGUUUUGAGUCAGCUACAAGAGAGGUUUUCAUAUCAACAGCCUGAAAAUGUAGCAAAACCUUUCUGAUUUUGCUAUUGGAGCGCUGAUGGCAAAGAACUAGUAAUCUGUUGCCAGCAAACCAGACGUUAAAUGUAUCUCAGAUAUAAGGGUCCCAGUAUGCUACUUUGCAUGAAGAAAAGCAGGUCAGUCUUCUCUAUCUGGAUUGGUUUUCCAGAAUGAAAUGAGUCUCCGCGUGCUUAGUCUUGGCUUUCUCACCCUUCAGAUUUGUACCUGAUGAGAAAAUAGAGCAGAAUAGCCCUGCUGAGUACAUCUUCCAGAGCUGCACAGAGCUAUUCAGCAUCAUGUGCUUCCACUAUGUAGGCACCGUGGAUCCAACCAGUGUUCCAUGUAAAGCACAGGUGGGACUGCGAGAGGUCAGUGGUGAAGCGCAGAGCUGCUCCUCCCCUUCCCAAAAACUGCAAACUGUGGCAUGGAGUGUUUGGAGAGGAACUUCUCUGGACACAUCUGGUAAAUGAAGCUGAAAUGCGCUGUCUGUUACUGGCAACUUGGUGUCUGUGCAGGCAGAUGCACCUCUGGCAGGAGUCAUUUGUUGAGUGACUGCUGAAACCAACAAUAUUGGCGUCUCCUGUAGCUUCUUCCUGUCAUCUUCCAUCCCUUACUACUCCUGGAGAAACAGAGGCUCAGCACUGCUAAGCUACUCUUAAACUUGAAUUGCAUUUGGUAUACGUUCUUUACUGUCCAAAACAAUGUCCAAAAUAUUAAGCAUUUGUACGUCCGUCUACUUUUUAAUUGGUGGUUUUAUUGAAAAAGAUCUGAGAGAGCUGUAGCUGUAAUUUCCCUUCCUUUCAUUGCUGAUACAAUUGGAAGUUGUUAAGAACUCGCUAUUGAAGUAAUUAACAAUACAGAAACCCAGGAAAUGUGAUAAGUGUAAAACCAUAUUAAACAAAGUAAAAGGUGUGAAACUCAGGACCUGAAAAGUAGCUUCCGAGUGGCUUUCCUGCCAGUGCACCUCAGACAUGUGGCGUCACUCUACUGAUUUUUCAGCUUUAUUCAUCAAUGAGACCAAUGUUUGUCAUAUUUAAGUUAUGUACGAAAAAGUGGGUAUUUUAUUAUUUUUUUUAGGGUUUUUUGUUUUGUUUUAAAAAACUUGAUACAUGUAGCGUUGGAUCAAGGCACAUACAAGACUGGCCAAAGGGCGUACAAUGCACUUUGGUUUUUAGUUGAAAAGACAAAUGAUUAUGGCAACAAAGUGUGGCUUGGGGUUUAAACAUGAAAUAGCGUAUAGUUCAGCAGGAAGGCAGAAAGAAACGUUUGUUUACAGAUUUAGCAAGGAAUUCUGGAAAACUGUGACAGUAAUGGGCAGUAUUCCUGACUGUAAUGGCAGUACAGUUAAUGCAUACCUAUAGAAUGUUUGAGUAUAUGCUUUAAAAUAGCUGUAUUCCCCAAUUUUCUUUUGACCCAGGUGACUAAAAUUUAUGAGACGCUGCUUGCAUUGCCUGCUUUUCGUCCCGUUUGUUUUCCUUACAAAGCUGUACUUCUAGCCCUUCUUCUGCUGAAGAACAGUUGCUCUGUGUUCUCACUGUCCCCCUGCUCCUGCCUUCCAAAUGUCUGUGGCCAUCCAUCACCAUUUUCUCUCUAACAAACAGACCACUGGUGUUGAUAACGAGAAAUGUACCGUUACACCCUAUCUACCCCUUGGUUAAUGGAGCCUGGCACAUUUCUUUAGAAUUCCUUGUUAGGAAUUUUGUUACGCUUUCUUCCAAGGGUCAGUUUUUUCUUUACAAAUGCCAACAGUUUCAGUCUCAUGCACAUAAUCAAUUUAAUUAUUUUCUUUUUAGACUGGAUUUCACCAUUGUUGGAUGGAUGUGUCCAGACAGCUGAUAUUGCCCAUUACUACACGCAUUUUUGUUUAUUGAAUAUUGUUGUGGUUUACAGAUUUAAUAGACCCAACAUUUAAGUUCUGUGAGUUUUUGCAACCACUUCUUGAUCUCUUCCUGAUUUGCCAGGUUUAACAUUAUUUUAUUAAUACCAAAGUGAAAAAUGGCCUGUGCUUACACUUACAAGGAUCUCAGAUGAAUGUUCUGACUGCUCAACACGGCAAGAAAAUUCACUUUCACAGUCAACAAGUCAU